GGAGGUAGUGACAAUAAAUCACAAUGCGGGACUAUCAGUCUUGCAAUUGGAUUGAGAACAAUGUACAACUCUUAUCGAUAAGCCAUUGGAGGGCAAGUCUGGUGCCAGCAGCCGCGGUAAUUCCAGCUCCAAUAGCGUAUAUUAACGUUGUUGCAGUUAAAAAGCUCGUAGUUGAAGUGUGGGUGAUGCUGUCUGUGAGACUUCGGUCUCUCGACAGUAAGUCACCCCCUUCCAGUAUCCAGUAGUGGGUAUUCAGUUACUUACUAUUGUGUGUUGGUCGUUUACUGUGAGAAAAUUAGAGUGUUCAAAGCAGGCGUUUGCUUGAAUAGAUUAGCAUGGAAUAAUAAUUGAAGGCUUUCGUGUUCGAUUUGAUUGGUUUGUUCAUGGAAGCAAGGUUAAAAGGAACAGUUGGGGGUAUUCAUAUUCACUAGUUAGAGGUGAAAUUCUCGGAUUUAUGGAAGAUGAACAAGUGCGAAAGCA
rnacentral:rRNA from 1 species